GGAGAGGUGGCCGAGUGGUUUAAGGCGACGGUCUUGAAAACCGUUGAACUAACAGUUCCAUGGGUUCGAAUCCCAUCCUCUCCGCCA
rnacentral:tRNA from 1 species